rnacentral:rRNA from 1 species
CACGUAGGCACCAAGCGUUGUCCGGAUUUAUUGGGCGUAAAGAGCUCGUAGGCGGUUCGGUAAGUCGGGUGUGAAAACUCGGGGCUUAACCCCGGGCCUGCAGUGGGUACGGGCAGACUAGAGGUAUGCAGGGGGAGAACGGAAUUCCUGGUGUAGCGGUGAAAUGCGCAGAUAUCAGGAGGAACACCGGGUGGCGAAGGCGGUUCUCUGGGCCUUACCUGACGCUGAGGAGCGAAAGCAUGGGGAGCAAACAGG